AUGGUGCUUUCUAGAUUUAAAAACCUUUUGCUGGAAGCUGGAGAUUGGCACUGUGAGAACUGGUUUGCCAUGACUACUGCAAUGCAGCCAGCUUGUGACCAGCAAGGGAGGGGAGGCUUACUGAGUGCUUCAGUUUCAGAUAUGCUGUGCUGCUGUUCUGGUUUCUUCAGGGGAACGGAGAGAUCCUUAGCAGAAAGAAAAUGUGUAAGACGGGAAGACAUUCAAUGACAUGGUUUGUCAGCGCUGCACAGAAGUUUUAAAUAGGAAAAGGAUCAUUCAUCAUGUUACAAUCGCUGUUCAGUGAAACGCUAAUCAAGAGGCAUAACCAUUAAUUCAUAUUUGUCCAUAAACGUGAACUAUGGAGACUGAUGUUGUUUAUAGGAAAAUAAUAAAAAUAUUCAAAUACAUGAGGUCUUUAGAACU
rnacentral:lncRNA from 1 species